UACGUAGGGGGCAAGCGUUAUCCGGAUUUACUGGGUGUAAAGGGAGCGUAGACGGCAGAGCAAGUCUGAAGUGAAAGCCCGCGGCCCAACUGCGGGACUGCUUUGGAAACUGCCCGGCUAGAGUGCUGGAGAGGUAAGCGGAAUUCCUAGUGUAGCGGUGAAAUGCGUAGAUAUUAGGAGGAACACCAGUGGCGAAGGCGGCUUACCGGACAGUAACUGACGUUGAGGUUCGAAAGCGUGGGUAGCAAACAGG
rnacentral:rRNA from 1 species